rnacentral:tRNA from 1 species
UCUUAAUUUAAAAGACAGUAGUUAAACUNUACUAUUNAGGG